rnacentral:rRNA from 1 species
CCGUGCGAAGGUAGCAUAAUCACUUGUUCUUUAAAUGAGGACUAGUAUCAACGGCAUCACGAGGGUUAAACUGUCUCCUCUCUCCAAUCAGUGAAACUGAUCUUCCCGUGAAGAAGCGGGGAUUAAUUUAUAAGACGAGAAGACCCCAUGGAGCUUUAAACCCAAUUACACCCCCAUAUUUUAAAUCUUCAUAACUUUUAAGGUACUGUAUAUUCGGUUUUAGGUUGGGGUGACCGCGGAGCAUAAAUAAGCCUCCACGAUGAACGGAAUUAUUCCCUUAUCCGAGAAUUACACUUCUAAGAAUUAAUAUUUUAACAUAUAAUGAUCCAUUAUUUGAUCAACGAACCAAGUUACCCUGGGGAUAACAGCGCAAUCCACUUCAAGAGCUCCUAUCGACAAGUGGGUUUACGACCUCGAUGUUGGAUCAGGGUAUCCCAGUGGUGCAGCAGUUACUAAAGGUUCGUUUGUUCAACGAUUAAAACCCU